CAGAUUUAAAGAUAAAUUAAAAGAGGCUUCGAGGCGGAGGAAUUUGCCUCGAUCAUUUUUUGUAAUCGAGUAACUCGAGGAAUAAAGAAUCGUGAAAAUUUGUAUCAUGGUUUCCACAACACAACUGUUUCUAACAGGUUUUUUUUUUUUUUUUUUAAGUUGCUGCAAAAAAAAUCAGCUUUGCCAUCACAGGAAUAAAUGCUAUUUUAAAAUAUAUAAAAUAGAAAAAAAAAAGUUAUUUUAAAUUUUGUUCAUUUUAACUGUAUAUUUAAUCAAAUAAAUGCAGCCUUGGCGAACAUACAGAGGACUUUCAAAAACGUUUAAAAAAAAAAAGUACCCACCCAAACUUUUGAACACUAGUUUAUGCAAGUACAUACUAUAUGUGCUAUACAUGCUAGCACACAAAUGUGCAAUGGUCAUUAUUCUGAAAUAUUUAAUUCCAGACAGCUUUGUAAUAACAAUAUGCUUUCUUUUUGCUAAAGUUUUGAAAUGUUGCUUGUUUGAUGAAAAAAAAAAUGGUUUGCAUGUUGCUUAACAGAACUUGAUGCACAGCUCAGAAUAUGCAGAAUGAAAAAAAAAAUAUUCGAGAAGUAAUUGUGAGUAAUAAUCUAAUAUUUACUUUUUUUAUGGCUAUUACACACACACACUGGCAGUGUCACGAAGAAGAAACCUGAUCCUUCACCAGCUCCAGUCACCACAGACCGACCAAAGCCUCCAGUUUCCAGCAUCAAUCUCACAAACUCCAUAUAUAAGCUCUCCGGGACCUCUACAAACUCUUCCUCAAACAAGAACCCAGUGUCAUCACCAGGGGCCGGUCCCAAGAGCCCCUGUAAUCACUCCAAAACUGCCAACUCCUCAACACAUUCAAACAACACCACGUCGAAACUAAAGCGCACGUCCCCCAGCGAUGGAGAACCCCACACUAGUGACAUUAAGUCACCUGAAACAAAGAAAAAGAUUCAACAUAUCCCAUGGCCAUAAUCUGAGAAGUCAUCUAGGAUGGACGGUAAACGCCACUGACGUCGUCCGCUGGGUCUCUGAGGCAAAGAGAGACUCGUGAUGAGACAUGAAUUUGAAAGACGGGUUCUCCUCACUCAUCUUUACUCACCAGCGUCUGGAAAAAUGACUCUGGUUAAUUCCACACUCGGCAAUGCAUCGGCUUUUGGCUUGAUGUGUGAUGAAGGAACUGAGACAUUCCUAGCAGUUGUAUGUUAGACUGAUCAGUUUUUCCCUUUUUUAGCAAUAUGUUUAUAGAAAUAUAUUUUUUUGCAAUGAAAAAACUUUCUGUUGUGAGUGAAUCAUGUUGGCGAUUCUAAGAGGAGAUGGAUGGAAAAUGGACCUGUCUGUGUCAGAUGUCCGCUGUGUUUUACUGACAUGGGAGUAUUCAGAGUAACUACUGAGUGGCAUUUUGAAGAAAUCUCUUAUUUUGCCAAUAAAAUGUUUCCAUUUAUCAGUAUUUUAGAUCAGAUAGGCAUGUCCAAGCGCUUUGGGCGAUAUCAGGUCAAUUCCUUGCCAGUUUUUGUAUUUAUAGCCCCCAACAAGGCCAAAAUUCAGUCGUGAUGUGUGUUGCAUCAUGCAUUGAUGUAUUUCAGUGAGAGAGCAGUAUGAAGCGUGUUUCACUUUUUUUAGCGGUGGUCUUUUCUAGACAUUAUGAAUUGAGUUUUUAUUGAACUGCAUAGAAUGUUCCUCAGGGACAACAAGCCUGAUCAAAUAAAUGACAGAGCACUGA